GACCUCCAGCAUGUAAGGCAGUCUGAGCUGGUUGUUCCAAGCUCAGACCAUUUGACCUUUUCACAAAGGCAUCAUUGGAUUCCAAUACCAAUAAUUUAGGAACUUUCACCACUUUCAAACUAACUUAAGUUUUACUGCCUGUGUUUUCUGAAUGCUGUGUGAAAAAGCCCAUGAAUCUGACCUUUGCAGAAUUUGUAAGUAAAUUAUUUUUAACUUACCAAACAUGCAAGUUUCUAUGCUGAGGAAAUUGGGAAACUUUGGAAGGAACUUAGAAGGGCAUACUUUAAAGGUCUACUAGCCUAUAUUUUCACACUUUAUUUUGCUGCUUGUUUGGCCAAGGAAUUUUCCUUUUUAUACCUUUCUUUUUCCUUGCCGCCCAACAAUAAAUACCAAGAGGUGUUGUGGUGGACGUGUGUUCUAUGCAACAUGGAGAAAGCAACUUAAGGACUGCUAAGAUGACAGUGAUGUGGACGGAUCUGUUGGGAAGCCUGGGCCUUGACAUGAGAGGAAAAGCACACUUCCAGCAUUGUAUCAUACUUAAAUAGAAGUUCAGUUCUUCUUUCUUCCAGACAGAAGAGGAAAUAGUGUUUUAUCUUUGAGCACUGGGUUGUGUAAGUUGGCCUUCCUUGAAUCUUACUAGGUGUAAGUCUUAAAACAGAGAUUUUGAUUGGGAGACUUUUAAUAUAUUCCAGUGCUAUAAUGUAGAAUCAAUUCACAUUACAGUGUGACAUGGCAGUGUCUCCUAUGAGGUUUGAUCCCUCAUCAAUAGAAAGGAACCAUGCCAUUAUAGUAGCUGUCAGUUGGAAGAUAGCUCCCAAAUUAUGAGAUUACCACUACAUGACUGGGUUAAUUGUUGGAAACAGCCCAUAAUAAUACCAUUUGAAGAAUUCUUCCUCUGGACAAGUGAGUGGACCAGAUAUCCUUCAGAGCCUUUCCUACGUCUCAGUUCUCUUGUAGCCUUUUCUCCCAAUAUUAGUUAAACAGCAAUUAGGCUAUAGGAGUUACCAAAGCUAUCUUCCUUUCCCUACAGUUUUGUAUUUUUUAAAAAAGCAAGCGCCAACCAAUAUGUAUCCAAAAAUACACUUCCAUAUGGUAUGCAGUGCAAAGAGCCAUGACACUGGGCUCAGCAUAUUUAUUUUUCUCACUGCUCUGCUGAAUACUGUAUUAUUCAAGUUUGGCAAAUGUAUACAUGAGAAGAUCAAAGCCUAAUCUUGGCUUUCCUUGCUACUUUCUGGUUUGGGGUGCUUAUGUUAAUCCUCCUUAAACUAAAGUGGUCAGAGAUUUGAGAGAUGUUUGAAACAUAAAAUAAAUUCUAACCUUGACAUGGAUUAGGCUUGCUAUAUGACACAUAACAGUCAUGCAGGACUAACAUUAUGGAAACAAGUACUGUAGAGGCCAGUGUAAGUCGCAGAACUGACAAAGGCGAUUUUUCUCUUGGGGGAAGAAAUAGGUGGAUAAAUUUGGUUUAAAGGAAGUAAAGUCUCCCUUGAUGAAUCUAUAGCUUAACAUUUUUGCAAGGUUAUUGCUUAUGCAUGCUCAAUCCCCCCCCCUUUCUUUCCUUAUCCAGUAAACACAGCAAUAUUUAGAAGAUGGAAAAUCCACUGUAAAAUUCCAUUCUUUUAUUUUCUAUAAAGCAAGGCUGCAUUGGCAAUAUAAUUAUAGAUUGUACCUCCAGCAAUCAGUGUACAUACAGAUUAUUUACAGCCGCUUCUGCACAAAUUUACUCAGAAGCAAAUCUCGUUGUGGGAUUUAUAGUAAAUCAGUGGGAUUUACUCCCAAGUAAAUGCAUUUAGGAUUGUAGCCUGACAGCCCAAUACUAUGCAUAUUCAAUACAUUCCACUGAAUUAAAAUGGUUUUUACUUGUAUGUAAAUGCACACAGAAUCACAAUGUUUCAAAAGGAAGGAAUACUCAUUUAACUGAAGGCCAAUCCUGAAAUAACAUUAUAUAAUAUUGGGCAGGCUUGUUAUAAGAAUUUCAGUUAAGAAUGCAACCACAUUCUGCUAAAAGUGGGAUUUUGAUUUCAGACACAUGGCUCCAUCAAAGCAGAAUAGCAUCCUUAAAUUGCCAACAGACUUAUCAAAAUUUGCAUAGCUUUUGAUGAAUUUACUGCACCUUCAUCCAGAAAGUGAUCUAUUGUUUUGAGCACCAUAGCAACAAGCAUACAGUACUGUACUAGGCAUUUUCACACUCUCUUCAUUUCAGAAUAUUUUAACCCACUCAUGUCAAACUACCUCACGUCCAGGCUCGAAUGAAGCCCGUGUUUCUGUGAAACCCCAAGUCAAGCACACAUACUAUGAGCCAACUGUUGGCUGCAUAAGCUGCUGACUCCUUAGCACAGAACUGCGUUAACUGUGUUUGCAAAAACUGGUGCUUGGCCUAGUGAUACAAUACAUGGUUUGGCAUUUCACAUGGGUGGAGUGAAAACACCCCUCCGAUACUGGAUUCAGUGAGGUGGGUAUCUCAGAAUGUGGAGGGUUAUUUUUAAAUAUGAGAUGGCUUAUCCUUCAAGGUGAAAUUUAUUUUUAAUAGGAGGGGAAACACACCUUGCCAGUACUUCAAGGUACGCUGCCCUCAGAAGGCCCAACAAUUUUCCCUUUUAAUCUGUGGCAUUAUGCUUCAUUGCAAUGAAACUGCUAGAAUCCUAUAAGCCGUGUCCAGAUGUUUGUUUAUUUACUUGGAAGAUGCUUAACUUUGCUCUUCAACAGAAAAGGCUCCCAAAGCAGCUUAUAUGGAGUCAAGUAAAGCUCGGGGAGGUCCGUUGUCUAAUACCCUGGAGAGCCACUGCCAGCCAGCAUGGACUGUGCUGAGCUAGCUGACUACAUAUAAAGCGGCUUCCUAUGUUUAUAAGACAGUCCCUGCCAGCAGGCUGACAAUCAACAAGGCAAAAUAUUCCAGAGAAAAGAGAUAUUCUUUGAACAUUGCAAAAAUAGAGAGAGAUAAUGUGUUUUCUUCUUCCUGAAAUUCCUAUGCAAGUUUUAAGUGGAGAACAUGUUUUCACAGAUGAUUUUGGAUAUGGUGACAAAAGUAUGCAAAGGGAAAUUUGACUCCCUAACAUUUUCGUUCCCUUUGAUUUUCCCUGACACCUGAAUUUGCCCUGGGGUAUAGCUCCACAAAUACUUCCUCUGGCUUUUCUUUGUCUUCUGGUGUUUGACAGCUCCAAGCUGGGGUAGAGAUAUAGAGCCUGCCUUGACUUCUCUGUUCCUAAAAACACCAACUUCUAAUUAUGGGGCAGUAUGUGCAUGCAGAAGGGGACGCGGGUGGCGCUGUGGGUUAAACCACAGAGCCUAGGACUUGCCGAUCAGAAGGUCGGCGGUUCGAAUCCCCGCAACGGGGUGAGGUCCCGUUGCUUGGUCCCAGCUCCUGCCCACCUAGCAGUUCGAAAGCAUGUCAAAGUGCAAGUAGAUAAAUAGGUACCGCUCCGGCGGGAAGGUAAACGGCGUUUCCGUGCGCUGCUCUGGUUCGCCAGAAGCAGCUUAGUCAUGCUGGCCACAUGACCUGGAAGCUGUAUGCUGGCUCCCUCGGCCAAUAAAGUGAGACAAGCGCCGCAACCCCAGAGUUGGUCACAACGGGACCUAAUGGUCAGGGGUCCCUUUACCUUUACCUUAUGUGCAUGCAGAUAUCUCUAAUGCACUGUUGUGUGCCACCUCAACCUCUGAAUGGUGCAAGAUUCCAGGGGUUCCAGGCAUACCUACACAGGGUCUGUGCUUCCUUUUGGUAAUGAGGCACAGUGGAGACUGUUCUGUCUUUAUUGAUAUAUGCUUUAUUUAUACAUACGGAUAUGCAACCUGAACCUAUGAUGGAGGAGUUCACAGCAAUAACACUCCAAGAGAAUCUUGUUGCUCCCACAGACACAGCUCUGGAUUCAAAACAAGAAUCAGCCAUCGUGCUCUCACCCUCUCUUGCUGAUUUUAACACCCUGCCACCUCCCCCCCCCCCAAUGUCACAUCACAGCAAAUUCAACUCUCAAGACUCUACUUUAAACUCUCAUUUUGUCUUCUAACUCUGAGUUGAGGGAUGUGUCCCUCUCAUUUGCCAGCUGGUUCAGAGACCUGUCUCUUCGGCUUUCCUAAUGACUCAUCACCUUCCUUUUGUCUUCCUAUGGCCCAUCACCCCAGGCGAUCUCCUGGUCUGGAAACUGGUCUGCCUUAUAUCCUAGACCUAGGAUUUUAGGGGAGUCUGGUACCCACAACCUCAAAACAGUAUUGUAGCAAUCCUUCAUAAUCCUAGGGUUUUCUUGUUGCUGUUGUUGUUAUUGGAGAAUUUAAAAGCAAUUGUGAGAGAAAGAUCUUAUUGCUUUUAAAGCACAUAUUUCCAAAUUCAAGGCCUCUGGUAAUGUUUCCAAUUAUCUGUAGUAAAUGUGCAUUUUCUUCACAUUAGCUUUUUCUUCCUGUUCUGUAAAGCUCAACCGCCGAUGUAAUUUUUAGUUGACAUAAAAGAAAUGAGAGCUAUUUUCAGUCAGACCUUUUGUAGGAUUAUGAUGGAGGCUCAAAUCCCAUCACUCCCGCUUUCAUAAAUGUUUCCAUUUGGGACCUCAGCUAAUAAAAUAUUAUUAACCAAUACCUCUAAAAUAGGACUUCAAAUACUCUUUGUGCUAACCAUUUUUGUAAACAUCAGGGUGUUUUGAGAUGGCUUUGCAAGUACCAGUGGUAGCGAUCCUCUCCAGCAGAGUAGAUUUAAGUCUUUGGGGUGCAGGGAGCAUGACACUCUUCCACAAUUUCUGUUGAUGCAUUGGCUAUGGACAGCCACCUACUCUUGAACCGGGUUGCCUUCAGUGAACCUGGAAUAAAUUCAUAUAUUGUGAAUUGGCUCUGAUGUGCACUCAUAAAUGCUCAUGAAAGUCACUCGAGUGAGCAGCAUAAUGUUGGGAAAACAUACUCAUGGUCGAUACAAGAGCAGCUUCUGUGAAUGCAGUGCUUUGGAUUUGCUGAAAUCCCCAUAAUGCCCAGGGAAUUCUCCUUGGCAUUAUAACUUAAACAAAUAGUUAUGUGCCCGUGACUAGAUCAAUGCAUGUAAAUCAGCUCGGGGUGUGUGUGUGUGUGGAUUGGGAGUGCUUAGAUGCUAAGGAAGGAACCCCAUGUUUAUAUCUGAGUUUGACAAGGCACAUUAAGAGAUGAUGCCAUAGUUCCAUGAGAAACAGGUGGAACUGCCUGUGCCCUUCCCCACAGACAAUGGCCCAGAGCUUUGCAGGAUACUUAUAGAGUGGUAACUAUGCAAGAACACAAUUUCAAAGCUGUUGCAAAUGCAGAAUCAGUCUUGGUGCCGUAGUCCUGCUUAGCCGCUUAACUCUUUCAGCAGGACACUCACAGUGGUGUAACGAAGCGGCCUGUUUGCCACUGUUCCUGAAACACAGUAUGGGAUGUGUAGACAGCUGUGAAUGCAUACAACUCUGUAUUCCUACAUCUAAACAAUAAAGGUGAUAUACCUUUUCCUACUCAUGUAGCUUGCCGUUUAGGGCUGGGUUAAGACACAUGUCCACGUAGCCCCUGUAGUUUAAAUAAUGCCUGACUAUGGUUGCACUGACACUAUAUACAAAUGGGAGUGUUCAUUUACUUGCUGAGUUAAAAGGUGGCCUUCCAAGACUGAAGUGUAUCAGGGCUGGCUCUGCCAUGCAGCAGGGUACAGCAACCUACUUCAGGUGGCCCCCAUAAAAGCAGAGAGGAAUAGAUGAAGAUAGGCACAGCAUGAAUGGCACAACAAUGCUUUUGAAAGAGCUGGUCAUAGGCCUCAGGCAGGGAAAUACAUUGAACUGUCACUGGACUGUAAGUCAACAGUGAAGACUGGGCUCAAGAACUGUGCACAUUUCAGAGAUGUAGCUGUACAGUGAACUUUGGGAGGGACACUGAAAGCCUGUAGGUCCACAUUUCAGUUUAGGUCUAGACCACUGUGGAGUCUGGGUCCAAUCCAAAAUGGCCUGUCAUCCACAAGCCCUCCCAACUACCUCUUCUCACUUGCUUAAUCAGAUCAUUCUGGGGAGCAGUGAGAUGGAGGUGAGCUCCUAAAAAACCACUGACGUAUCACAGCAGCAUCCAUGGAGGCCAAGAAAUAUGGAAAAAUUGUUCCCUGCCAAGCAUUGAUGUCCAACGAUUUAAUCAGCACCAGUCCUUCCACUAGGCAGAAUGAGGCAGUCACCUGACAUAGCAGGUGCUGAAGUGGGUGCAAGACAUGAUGGAGAAGUGUCAAAGAAGAGGGUUGUUGCCUGCUCAGCACUUCUUGAGAUAACCUGCUGCCCAUAGGUAUAGUGGAGGACAUUGUCUUUUUGCAAGCAUUUAAAUAAGAUUGAAUUUCCAGUCUAGCUGGGCUCCUUAUGGCAACAAUAGGUCUAGGGACCAGUCAUGGAUUUCAUGAAUAUAUUUUUAAAUGUGGGAGCUAAGAACCCUCUACCUAAACAAUGUAAGCAAAGCUUUCUGCUAUACACCAAUAUUCUUAACCCACAAAAGAAACAGAAGGUGGGAAGGGAAUCUCCCAAACUAUAUUUGGCAGGGGGGAAAUAAACUUGUCAAUACCCCAUUGAAUGGGAAUGGAAAAUCAGCUAAAAACAUGCAAAUAAUUAAAUCUUCCACAUACACCCAAAAUCAGGAUCUGUUUCCAAUUAUUCAUGAACAAAGGGAGGGCUGGUUUGUCAGAUAAUUUAUUCACACCAUGUAAUUCAUCCAGAUCCAGUUGUGAAGAUUAAUUAGCAAAGAGCUUUGAGGAUGAAAAGCUUGGUAAAAGUGCUAAGUGAUAUUAAUCAUUGUGAUUAGAAUGUAAUUGUUUUUUUACUCCUCCUCUGAUGUGACAUAAAGCUCUAAUUUGAGGGGAAAGUCACUAUUUAAAUAAGUUAUUUAAAUAAGAUAUUUACCUGCACUGUGUGUAUUAUAUUAUCCUAGGAAGAGUCCCUACUGUGCUCAGUUUAGGGACUUUUGCAGAAUAAAACAGCGUGCUGUUCCAAUUCCGACUUCAUUGGCAGCGAAUACCUGAGUCUUGUUUCCAAUUUCUGCAAGCAUUCUCCACUCCCUGUACCAGCCAUGCAUGGGGGGGGGGAAUGGGUACCCUUUUCCUUUUGUUUCACCAUCUUUCACCUGAAAUUCAGAAUCAAAAUACCAUACUGGAGAAAAACUAGAGCAUACAUUAACUCCCGUUUAAUAAUGGCUAUAUUCAGACACAGAAUAUACUGCAUUACCUGGUAGCAUGUAGUCAGCUCUCAAAUAUGGUUACAUUUUCUGAAAGUGGAGCAAUUUGUUGGAGAAUCUCUGUUAUGGUUUUUUUAUAUGCUGCUUUGGGGCCCUAAGUUCCCCAAAGCCAUAAACAGCGUGUCAAUACAAAAUAAAGAUAAUACCAAUCAAAACAAUAGAAAACAGUGAAAUCACAAGCUACCCACCAAUUACACUGGGUAUGUGUUUGUAAGCAGCAUUCCUGUUCACACCACACAAAAAGCUCCCCAGAUUUCCAUCUCUCCCCAGCAUUUCGCCAGGCUAACUCACAUCCCCGCAGCUCAUUGGCUGCUCUCAUCUCUCACUUUGAAGCAAGCGAAUGGUCCUACCAGAGUAUCAUUCCCAUUUAUUAUUUAUCCUGCAUUUCCAUCCACUAAGCACUUUACAAUAAAUAAACAUUUAUUGUGCUCUAAGUGCGGAGUGUUAUUUAUAUUGCACUUACCUAUUCUAAGCAAAUUACAAUAUAUAAACGUUCACAAUGAAUUUACAGUAUAUAAAAACGUAGUCUGUGGGAAUGUGGUUUGUCCCACUUUGGAGUACUGAAGUGAAACACUGCAUUGCUAUAAACUCUGUGUGCAUGUUUGUGUGGGUGCAUACACACCAGACAUUGAAAGGCCCCUCAAAAUAACUGUAGUUUACUGCUCAAAGGAUGCUCAGAAGCCCGAACAAUCUACAGUUCCUAGAAUUCCUUGGAAGGAUCAGUCACUCACUAUUUACAAAACCCACAAUAAGAUAUACCUUAAUUAGGCCAAUAAAAACAAAAUAGCACUAAGCUUUUGAAGAGUCAUUCAGUAUCCUUCAUCAGACUAGAACUAGAUGGUUAAACAAAUGAAGGGGGGAGGAUAUUGACUGAUGGUAGCACUACAUGAGACUUCUGCAGGGGGAGACUUUGGUAUUAUGGUGCCCUGAAUGGGGAUAAAAUUUAGCGCACACACCCUUAAAUAUUUCUGAUUUUCACAAUAAUUCAUUUUGCUACAGUUGCUUUUUAAUGGAUCUUAUCAGUAGGUAUCCAGAUAAAUAUAUGUUGUUGUUGUUGUUUUGCCCCCUCUUGGCUCUGCGCCCUGUGCAGUGGAACCACCUGCCCUAAAUCCAGCACUGGCUUCUGCAUCUGGUAAAAGUGUUAAGACAGAAUGUGAGAGAUGGAAACAGACAUUCAAAUGAAGCUCCUUUAAGGUCUACUGGGAGGAAGAAUUAUAACAAUGGCUUAUUCUCCCACUCUGGGAAUACAAAAACAUGACAGUUACCCAAGUCUAUCCUUAGGCAAAAUACACAGGUUCCUUGAUACUUAGGUGGAUUUUUUAAAAAAGAAAGGAAGGAAGGAAGGCAUUUACCUUUUUCUUUCUGUAAACAAAAAAAUUUGGAUUUUGGAUUUUAUACAAUAUGUGGGUGCUUUUUGGGAGCCAAAGUAAUGGUACCCCCCCUCCCCCAAAUCACCUGAUAAGCAAUGCAUGUUUACAUGUCAAGACAACAACAAAGAACUGUCUUGAUUUUUGUCACUAUGUUGCUUUUUUGUCUCAGGCAAAAUGCUAACAUAUUGCAAUAGGGGAGAAAAGUCCCCUGCUUUUUUCUUUUUAAACCGAUACAGGAAAACAGACUUCCCCUGACACAACACACAUGGCUUUGUUUGGAGACAUUUUACUAUUGCAAUAUGCACGAAAUUUAGCAAUGGAUAAAAAAUAUAUAUCCCCCAAACCAUUUGUGCUGUACUUUUUUCAUGUGUCUGGGUUUCUGUUAAACCAAUUUAAGCCUGUGCUGUAGAGCCGCCUGGAGUGUUCUUUCUACAGCCUAAUGGGAGAAAGCAGGGGUUGGCGAGGAGAGAGAAGGAGAAAAGGAACUUGCUAUGGAAGAAUAGCUUUCCUUGCUGCCUUAUUCUCUUCUUUUGAUGAACGUAGCAAUAAGAAUGGAUAAAUAUUGUGCUAUUUUAUUUUCUUGACACAAUCUUUCUAACGUGAACGAGGCAGUAUUUCUUGCUGCCUCGUGUCGCUCGUGAAUUACAGAAACCUGCUCUGCAGAUUUGACCUUUUCUGUAGGCUGUAUUUUGGAUAGAUGGGCCUUCCACUCCAUUUUAUCAGACUCACUUAACUAGCAGAGAAGGGAUAGAAAUAUUUAAGUAGGAGCAGUUGAAGAUGCAUUACUAAAAAGCUUCAAAGCGUAGGAUGUUAUUUCCCAGGACAUAUUCAGCAUUAACAUCCUGCUAUCUCUCUGGAGUUGAGAUAACAGAAAAUUGUGCUACCCGGAAACCACAAUUCUCAUACUAAAGAUUGAAACAGCAAAGUGGAACACUGUGGACUUAAGCUAGUUCAUCCCGUAUUGCUAAAAUGAGGCAUCUUAGAUUCCUCUUGGAUGGAAAUGCAAAGGUAUAUCUUUUUCUUAGCAUGAGUUGGUUUCACAAUAUAGUUUCCUUAUUAGCUGAAAAGGAAGCUCAGCCAUAUAGAAUGGUUUAUUCAAGGACGUAAUUGUAAUUUGCCCUGUUCAUAGCAUAAGAUGCAUAAUAUGCUGGUUUGGCCAUUUCCUGCCUAGGAGUUUGCCUGAGAACUCUUUGCAAGUUGCCUUGACUUCCGUGGAGGAAAGGGGGCAUGUUUAACAAUAGAAAUAAUGAAUCUUAUAUGGUAGUCCUUGAUUUGACAACAUUUUUGUGGUGGGAUUUCUUUUUCCUUUUAGCUUCCCUUAAGCUGCUGGAGAAUUUCGACCCACCUCUGGAAAAUAUCUGGCAAAAUGGCCUCCACAGUGUUGCCAUCUGGGUGCAAAUAUGAAUCCAGUUUUCAUAUUGUUUCAUAUUAUUUUAAUAUUGUUAAAGGAAGCAAUGGGCUUGUCUUCUGCUGUUCCCAGUCCUCCUCUUGUAGCUUGUUGUUUUCUUUGCCCAGUAACAUGAAUUUAAAAUAGAUUUCAUUCAACAUGAAUGUCCUUUUCAGGAAAUAUGCCAAUACUGCAUCCAACAUCCCCAUGCCUUAGGGUUGCCAUAUGUCCUCUUUUUCCAGGACACAUACUCUUUUUCAUGGGUAUGUAAAAUGAGAGUUGUCAUAACGAUCCAUAAUUAAACGUUGUUGUUGUUGUUUAGUCAUUUAGUCGUGUCCGACUCUUGGUGACCCCAUGGACCAGAGCACGCCAGGCACGCCUGUCUUCCACUGCCUCCCGCAGCCUGGCCAAACGCAUGCUGGUAGUUUCGAGAACACUGUCCAACCAUCUCGUUCUCUGUCCUCCCCUUCUCCUUGUGCAUCUUUCCCAACAUCAGGGUCUUUUCCAGGGAGUCUUCUCUUCUCAUGUGGUGGCCAAAAUAUUGGAGCCUCAGCUUCAGGAUCUGUCCUUCCAGUGAGCACUCAGGGCUGAUUUCCUUCCGAAUGGAUAGGUUUGAUCCAUGGGACUCUCAAGAGUCUCCUCCAGCACCAUAAUUCAAAAGCAUCAAUUCUUCGGCGAUCAGCCUUCUUUAUGGUCCAGCUCUCACUUCCAUACAUCACUACUGGGAAAACCAUAGCUUUAACUAUACGGACCUUUGUCGGCAACUUCUAGUUAAACAUAGAAGUUGGCAAACGUGUCCUCUUUUUUGCUUUUCAAAAUAUGGCAACCCUACCCAUGUUUAACAGUUAAUCCCUCUUCUGAGGGAACUCUGAGGCAUUGAUGGCCACCAACAUGGGUGGCUUAAAUUUUUGGGGGGACAAAUUCAUGUAGGACAAGGCUUUCAAUGACUGCUUGCCGAGAGGGCUAUGCUCUGCCACCACAGUUGGAGGCAGGAAUGCUUCUGCACAGGAUAAGAGUGUACUUUUAUGCUUGGGAGAUGCUUGAGGGCUUCCCACGGACAUCUUGGUGGCCACUGUGAGAGCAGGAUGUUGGCCUGGAUGAGCCAUUGGCCUGAUCCAGCAGGCUCUUCUUGUGUUCUUAUGGCUCUCGGCCAUCUUUUGCUCGAUGGGGUUAAUAACUCUGGCCUAUCUUGCAGAGUUGUCAUGAGUAUUACUGAGAUAAUUAGUACUGUGCCAAUAUCUAUCCUCCAAUUUCUCAAUAGUUUUCUUCCCUAGCAAAUUAAGCUUCUGGAGGGCAGGACUUGGACCAAUGGUUUCAAGUUGCAGGAAAGGAGAUUCCGACUACACAUACGGAAAAAAAACUUUAUGGCAGUAAGAGCUGUUUGACAGUGGAACAGUCUCCCUCGGUAGCUUGUGGACUCUCCUUCCUUGGAGGUUUUUAAGCAGAGGUUGGAUGGCCCUCUGUCAUGGAUGCUUUAGCUGAGCUUCCUACAUUGCAGGGGGUUGGACUAGAAGACCCUUCGGUCCCUUCCAACUCUACGAUUUUAUGAUUUUCCUGCCAAGUCCUCAGUGCACUUGAGCUGACCUUAUCACUGUGAGGUGGCCAAGAGUGUUGUGUGUUUCUUUAUUUUUCUGGCACCCUGAACUUCCUGUGUUUUCUGAUUUGAAAAGUUCCAUGGAGGGAUUUUCUUCUGGGCUUUAAUUGGAGCACAGGCACCUGGGAGGGCUAUACAGUGCAGACCCUACCUACCCUUGAGAAUUUCACUAAGAAAUAUCUCUCCUAUGGUAAUUUUGUUUGUGAUUUCUUUUCAUUUUAAUUGAUGGGAAAUGGGAGAAAAAAUGUGGGAGACAUUUUUGGCACAGCACUAAAGAUAAUAUUUGAAGCACUUUGAGACUUCUACGAUUGCGGUUCCAAGCACACACUUACCUGAGAGUAAGCCUCAUUAAACUCAGCAGGUCCUACAUCUGAGUAAACAUGCACAGGCUUGCACUGCACAGCAUGGUUUAAAUGCUAAGGAUUAUUAAUUUGUCACUGUCUCCACAGGGCACAUGGAUUGGGGGAGAGAAGGAACAUGCUGUAUUAGCUUCAAGGAGUAUGUGAACGCCAGCA